GUUUGGAAAGAGUUGGACCUAGCUGCCUGAAGGAACAAAGGGUACCGUGAGCUGAGCUGUAACUUUGCUACAGUUAGGACCACCACAGCUGUACUCUCUUCAACCACCUGUCCUACUGAUAAAUGGAGUCCCCACCGACAGACGGAUGAUUUGGCCACUAGAAGCCUGCUGCUGUGCCACUCGAGAGCCACACUCAGCUUUGGUGAGAUGAACUCCAGAAGCAAAAAAUCAUUGAGUAUGACUUCAGAUGAAGAGACUGAAGAUGUACUCUCAAAUGAUCCAGGCAUCCACGACAUACCGUACCAUACCAUUUUAGGAGAAAGGUAUAGUCCUUUAAGUUGGCAUUACACAAGGUGCCAGAGCGAAUGACCCACGUAUGUAUCCCUGCUAACCCCACUGAUCACUUGGUUCAGUUAACGUUCCUUAUGCAGAUGAAACGCAUCUACAAAUACAUACACAGAACUAAAUCAAAACGUGUCGUGAGGCUACUCGUGGGUCCUUCCAACCCUGUUCAAUAGCUAAUAAUAUGCCAUGAUGAUCCUCAUCCCAUGUUGCCAGGGCAGCAUUCCAGUUUAUGCAGAAUUUGCCAUUUGAAGACCAACACUAUGACACUUGCAGAGCUCCAUUUGUGGAUGUUUUUUCCAAGAAGCAGACAAAGGAGGAAAAACUUCCACUGACAAGGGGUGCAUUUAUGCCUGUUGUCAAGAGAGCAAAUUAUCAAGCAAUGGAAUGGCUCCAGAAAGAUUGAGUGCAUCUAAAACUACCCUCCCCUGUCAGAGCAUAGAUGGGUCUUGGAAGAUUGAUUAAAUCGGUUGUGUGAAAUACCAUGCACUCCUAAAUCAAUCCUUCAGCUAAUCAAAUGCUUCUGUGCAAAGACCAGAUGUUCACCACACUGCAAAUGGUUGGCCAGCAGCCUACCUUGUACAGAGAUGUGCGAGUGCAGCAUGGAUGAGGAUCAGUGUGUCUAGCAGAGGUGCCCUUGAUAGAAAUGACACUGAUGCUGACUAUGAUGAAAAAAUAUUUUCAGUCCUACAUGUUAAGGCUAACUUCCUUAGGAUUACCAAAGAGCCGUGUCUUUUUUUAUGUAAGCAAUGAAGCCCUAUGUUCAUGUUUAAUGUUAAAAGGUUGAUUUUUAAACACUUUCUUGACUAUAUAUCUACAUAAUUGUUCUAGGUCUGUCAUGUUUGGUAUCAUGUGUUCAUGGGAGAAAGAGCUUUUGAAUGAUAACAUAGCAUCAUAGAAAAUGGGUAUUAAAAUUUCCACCAACUGAAGGACCUGGA